rnacentral:rRNA from 1 species
GACGAACGCUGGCGGCGUGCUUAACACAUGCAAGUCGAACGAAGUGGCGAACGGGUGAGUAACGCGUAAUCAACCUGCCCUUCAGAGGGGGACAACAGUUGGAAACGACUGCUAAUACCGCAUACUGAAGGAGGGGAUUGCGUCUGAUUAGGUAGUUGGAGGGGUAACGGCCCACCAAGGCGAUGAUCAGUAGCCGGUUGAAGAGUAUGAGUGGCCCCGUUGGGACUGAGGCUCUGCCCAGACUCCUACGGGAGGCAGCAGUGGGGGAUCUUCCUCAAUGUACGAAAGUCUGUCGGAGCAACACCGCGUGAGUGAUGACGGCCUUCGGGUUGUAAAGCUCUGUUAAUCUCGGCUCGGUACCGGAAUAGAAGGCCACGGCUAACUACGUGCCAGCAGCCGCGGUAAUAC